rnacentral:rRNA from 1 species
UACGAAGGGGGCUAGCGUUGCUCGGAAUCACUGGGCGUAAAGGGUGCGUAGGCGGGUCUUUAAGUCAGGGGUGAAAUCCUGGAGCUCAACUCCAGAACUGCCUUUGAUACUGAGGAUCUUGAGUUCGGGAGAGGUGAGUGGAACUGCGAGUGUAGAGGUGAAAUUCGUAGAUAUUCGCAAGAACAUCAGUGGCGAAGGCGGCUCACUGGCCCGAUACUAACGCUGAGGCACGAAAGCGUGGGGAGCAAACAGG